AGCAAUAGCCGCGGUAAUACAGAGGGUGCGAGCGUUAAUCGGAUUUACUGGGCGUAAAGCGUGCGUAGGCGGCUUUUUAAGUCGGAUGUGAAAUCCCUGAGCUUAACUUAGGAAUUGCAUUCGAUACUGGGAAGCUAGAGUAUGGGAGAGGAUGGUAGAAUUCCAGGUGUAGCGGUGAAAUGCGUAGAGAUCUGGAGGAAUACCGAUGGCGAAGGCAGCCAUCUGGCCUAAUACUGACGCUGAGGUACGAAAGCAUGGGGAGCAAACAGGAUUAGAUACCCCCGUAGUCCCUGUCUCUUAUAC
rnacentral:rRNA from 1 species